UUAUAAAUAAACAAUGAUGUAUCAGCUUUGGAGGCAAUGAAACCAAGAUAUUUCAACUGUAAGCUCAAUCUGGAGUACCAUGCUCUGGGUGCUUGUUUUAAACCAUAGAGUGCCUUGUCAAGCUUGCAAACAUAAUGUGGUGACUUCUUGUCCUCAUAACCAGGUGGUUGUCUCAUAAACACUUCCUCUUCUAGAAUGCCAUGCAAAAACGCAUUCUGUACAUCUAGCUGUCGUAGACUCCAACCCUUGGAUACAGCAAUGGCUAGCACAAGUCUGAUAGUUGCAGCUUUAACAACAGGACUGAAAGUGUCCUCAUAAUCAAUACCAUAACGUUGUUUAAAACCCUUUGCAACGAGACGUGCUUUGUACCUGUCAAUGGAGCCAUCUGCCUUCUUUUUAAUUCUGUAAACCCAUUUGCAAUCGAUGAUAUUUUUACCUUUCUGAUUUGGUACAAGAUGCCAUGUCUUGUUCCUCAUAAGUGCAGAAUAUUCCUCAUCCAUUGCCUUCUUCCACUUAGGAUCAUCAAGUGCACUAUUCAAUGUUGUUGGUUCUCCUGAAAUACACAACAUUCCAUAUGGAGCACUCGCCGCAGAAGAUCCCGAGGAAGCUGCAUGUGAUGACACAGGCGAAUCUGGCGCCACCUGCGCAGAGGAUCCUGUAGCCGUUGGUGUGGCCGCUUGUGUGUCCACCACACGGGUGCCAGCCGCCCGAGCCGGCACAGCGGAUCGAUCGCCCGACCGCGGUUGCAGGCGCACGCUGGGCGAGGGAGAUUCGGCCCCACGGCUGGUCCCGCCUGCUGCUGAGGUGGCGGCGUGGGAGUGGCGCGCGCUGGGCGAGGCGGAUUCGGCCCCGCAGCCGACCCCGCAGCUGGUCCCGCCUGCUGCUGAAUCAGCGCUGCGGUUGGUGGGAGCGCGAUCCGAGGCUGAUUUGGCCGCGGGAUCCGAGGUCUGCGCACGAACAGGAGUUGCGGGCGCCGCCGGAUCAGCUUCGUCAUCUGUGCCAGGGACCUGUACAGGCAACAGAGAAGAACCAAUACCAGCAGGAAUAUCAUCACUUUGGUUAGUACAACUGUCGCCCCCAUGAUCAAAAGACCGAAGAUGUGGAGGAAGAAGAAGGAUUUCCUUGCGGAGAAGUGCACCAGCAUUGGGAUGAAGGGAAGCAAAAGGGAACACUGACUCAUCAAAAACUACAUCUCUGGAUAUGUAGACCCUACCAGUAGGAACAUCUAGACAUUUAACUCCUUUGUGCAUGGGACUAUAGCCUAAGAAGACACACUUUUUGGAGCGAAAAGCGAGUUUGCGUGUGUUAUAGGGUCUGAGGUUGGGCCAACAUGCACAACCGAAAACACGAAGAGAUGUGUAGUUGGGUGUGACACCAAGGAGUCGUGUAAUAGGUGUUUCAAAUUUGAUGACUUUACUAGGAAGCAAAUUGAUAAGAUAUGUAGCGGUUAAGAAUGCUUCAUCCCAGAAUUUGAGUGGCAUGGAUGCAUUUGCUAGCAAUGCUAGCCCCAUAUCAACUAUGUG